ACCAACCAACCAACCAACCAACCAACCAACCAACCAAUCAAUCAAUCAAUCAAUCAAUCAAUCAAUCAAUCAAUCAAUCAAUCAAUCAUGUUUCCGUCUCGUCUCGUGUGUUUAAUAUAGGGUCCAAGAUCUUCUUUGUUUCUUUUUCGCUGUUUCAAUUGGCCCUAUCCAACGUGUUUAACCAACCAACCAACCAACCAACCAACCAACCAACCAAUCAAUCAAUCAAUCAAUCAAUCAAUCAUGUUUCCGUCUCGUGUGUUUAAUAUAGGGUCCAAGAUCUUUUUUGUUUCUUUUUCGCUGUUUCAAUUGGCCCUAUCCAACGUGUUUUACCAACCAACCAACCAACCAACCAACCAACCAACCAACUAAUCAAUCAAUCAAUCAAUCAAUCAAUCAAUCAUGAUCAUGAUCAAUCAAUCAUGUUUCAUGAAAAAUUGAAAUUUAAUAUUGUUCUUGCGUCACUUCUGAAAAAAAAAUCCACAUGUACUCUGAAACUACAAAUACAAUCGACCUCAAAAUUUGCAGUCAGCAGGGCAUACAUGUACUAAAAGUUUAUAAAAAAAACUUGGUGCAGAUAUCUCUCAAAGCUUUUCCUAGAGAAAAAGAAAUUGCAAUGCCGUAAAAAUUGCUUGCUAGGUCCGUAAAUUUCAGUAAAAGCCUACAAUAAAAUGUCCGCUCCGAGAUUGAAAUACUAAUCUGUGUUACAAACAGGUGCUGAAAAAUGUACAUUAUCAGAAAAUAAUCAAUAAAUGUGUUUUAAAGUUACACCGGAUCAAUUAAAUCCAAAACAUGCACUGCUGGUGAACUGUGAUCAAAAUGUCAAUUUCCUACAAUGACAAAAGAAAUUACAUUGUGUGCAUUCCAUCUCUAUACAUGUUGUCUGUUCAAAGUCCCGACCUAAAAAGAAAUUAAAAAGACUAAGUCUUUUCGUUAAUUAUAAACCCGCGUGUCACGUGAUGUCUCCUCAAUCUUGCGCGCGCGCUGUAUCUAAAAUAAAAGAAAAACUUUCCAAACUAAACAUGAAACUUCUCCGGUAACAUAAUAAUAUAGACCCCAUACCAAAGCAAACAAACAAACAAAUAAACAAAUACCCAACCCCCCCCUUUUUCCAAAUCAAUCAAUAAAAAAAAUCAAUUAUCCAUUCAUCAGAGGGGAAAGACUGCCUAACAAUUGUUUUCAAAACAAUUGCUUUAUAUUUAUUAGGUCUUUCCACUUUUCUGUGGAAAGCCUAUUGUAUUUGUUCUGAUUAUUAUUAUUAUUAUUUUUUUUUUUUUUCCGCCAAAUUUUGUUCUUGCGAUAAAUGUUUGUUUCGCAAUAUGUCGCUUAGAUUUUUUUCAUAUUGUAUCGUAUAGUUUAUGCGCUUUUAAAUUUCACCCUGCUAAGCCGAACCAUUUUCUUUGUAAGAGUUAUCUCCCUAUUCACUGUUUGUCAUGUGUGUGCAUCUCCUUCGUAACAAAAUAAGAAAGCGACAAAAUUCUUUUUACAAAUUGUUCGUUACAUCCUCAGGAAUUUUUGGCUAAUUUGGAUCGAAGCGAUUCGAUGAAAUUUUAUAGGAGUUAUGUACCUUUACGGAAUAAAUUUGUCGGUAUGUUUUUUUAACUCAUAAACCGUUAACCGUAUAACCCUGGAAUGUUUUUAUUUGAGUCCCCUGGGUCCUAACUUAGAAAAUUAGGUCAAGGUCAAAGGUCAAGGUCAUAUUUUAGAUUUUCAUAUGUCUUUGAUUUCCCUAUAAUUCUUGAAUGGUUAUAGAUACAGAAAAUUUAAGCAGUGAAAAAUGUUCAGUACUUCAAGGGGCAACUUUGUUACAUUAUGACUGUAUUGGUUUUACCAUUAUGUAAGGGACAUAACCCCCAUUGAUGGUUUAUAAAAAGCCAUUAUUAGGCAAAACUCUUAAACAAAAGGUCCUUGACCCAUAGGGUCUUUUGCAAUGACAUUGUGAAGCAAUGACCUUGACAAAGGUCACAAGGUCAAAGGUCAAGGUCAUGUACAUAUGUGAUUUGGGGCACGACUUGAAGAAUUUUAUGUGUGUUUGCCAACCAACCAACCAACCAACCAACCAAUCAUGAUCAAUCAAUAAUGAUCAAUCAACAAAUCAUGAUCAUCAAUCAACCAAUCAUGAUCAUGAUUAAUCAUGAUCAUCAAUCAACCAAUAAUCAUAUCAUGAUCAAUCAAUCAAUCAUGUUUCCGUCUCAUGUGUUUAAUAUAGGGUUCAAGAUCUUCUUUGUUUCUUUUUCGCUGUUUCAAUUGACCCUUUCCAACGUGUUUAAACCAACCAACCAACCAACCAACCAAUCAAUCAAUCAAUCAAUCAAUCAAUCAAUCAAUCAUGAUCAAUCAAUCAAUCAAUCAAUCAUGUUUCCGUCUCGUCUCAUGUGUUUUUAAUAUAGGGUCCAAGAUCUUCUUUGUUUCUUUUUCGCUGUUUCAAUUGGCCCUAUCCAACGUGUUUAACCAACCAACCAACCAACCAACCAACCAAUCCAAUCAAUCAAUCAAUCAAUCAAUCAUGUGUUCCGUCUCAUGUGUUUAAUAUACGGUCCAAGAUCUUCUUUGUUUCUUUUUCGCUGUUUCAAUUGACCCUAUCCAACGUGUUUAACCAACCAACCAACCAACCAACCAAUCCAAUCCAAUCAAUCAAUCAAUCAAUCAAUCAAUCAAUCAAUCAUCAUGAUCAUGAUCAAUCAAUCAUGUUUCAUGAAAAAUUGAAAUUUAAUAUUGUUCUUGCGUCACUUCUGAAAAAAAAAUCCACAUGUACUCUGAAACUACAAAUACAAUCGACCUCAAAAUUUGCAGUCAGCAGGGCAUACAUGUACUAAAAGUUUAUAAAAAAACUUGGUGCAGAUAUCUCUCAAAGCUUUUCCUAGAGAAAAAAAAUUGCAAUGCCGUAAAAAUCGCUUGCUAGGUCCGUAAAUCUCAGUAAAAACCUACAAUAAAAUGUCCGCUCCGAGAUUGAAAUACUAAUCUGUGUUACAAACAGGUGCUGAAAAAUGUACAUUAUCUAGAAAAUAAUCAAUAAUGUGUUUUAAAGUUACACCGGAUCAAUUAAAUCCAAACAUGCACUGCUGUGUAACUUGUCAUCAAAAUGUCAAUUUCCUACAAUGACAAAGAAAUUACAUUGUUUACAUUCCGUCUCUAUACAUGUUGUCUGUUCAAGAUCCCACCUAAAAAGAAUUAAAAGACUAAUUUUUCGUUAUUAUAAACCCGUGUCACGUGAUGUCAUUGGCGCGCGCGCUGUACCUAAAAUAAAAGAAAACUUUCCAAACUAAACAUGAAACUUCUCCGGUAACAAUAAUAUAGACCCUACAAAACAAACAACAAACAAACAAACAAACAAACACCCCCCCCCACCAUCACACAACCAUCCCUUCCUUACAUCCCUUUCGCCCCGUUCCCACCCCUUUCUUUUUUAAUAAUCAAUAAAGAAUGAUUUAUCUAUCAUCAGAGAAAGACGCUAACAUGUUUUAAUAAAAAUCUGAUAUUUUUUUUAGGUCUUUCCACUUUUCUGUGGAAGCUAUUUGUAUUUGUUCUGAUUAUUAUUAUUAUUUUUUUUUUUUUUUUUUUUUUCCGCCAAUUUUUGUUCUUGCGAUAAUGUUUGUUUCGCAUAUGUCGCUUAGAUUUUUUUCAUAUUGUAUCGUAUAGUUUAUGCGCUUUUAAAUUUCACCCUGCUAAGCCGAACCAUUUUCUUUGUAAGAGUAUCUCCCUAUUCACUGUUUGUCAUGUGUGUGCAUCUCCUUCGUAACAAAAUAAGAAAGCGACAAAAUUCUUUUACAAAUUGUUCGUUAUCUCAGGAAUUUUUGCUAAUUUGAUGAAGCGAUUCGAUGAAUUUUUAAGGAGUUAUGUAUUUAUGGAAUAAUUAUUGUCGGUAUGUUUUUUUAACUCAUAAACCGUUAACCGUAUAACCCUGGAAUGUUUUUAUUUGAGUCCCUGGGUCCUAAUAAAAAUUAGGUCAAGGUCAAAGGUCAAGGUCAUAUUUUAGAUUUUAUAUGUUUUUUGUUUCCCUAUCAGCAAAUUGUCUUUUGAAAUUGGUAUAGGAUNNNNNNNNNNNNNNNNNNNNNNNNNNNNNNNNNNNNNNNNNNNNNNNNNNNNNNNNNNNNNNNNNNNNNNNNNNNNNNNNNNNNNNNNNNNNNNNNNNNNNNNAAAAGAGAGAAUCCAACAACCCAAACCAACAUAUGAUCAAUCAAUAAUGAUCAAUCAACAAAUCAUGAUCAUGAUCAAUCAACAAAUCAUGAUCAUGAUUAAUCAAUCAAUCAAUCAUGUUUCCGUCUCAUGUGUUUAAUAUAGGGUUCAAGAUCUCCUUUGUUUCUUUUUCGCUGUUUCAAUUGACCCUUUCCAACGUGUUUAACCAACCAACCAACCAACCAACCAACCAAUCAAUCAAUCAAUCAAUCAAUCAAUCAAUCCAAUCAUCAUCAAUCAAUCAAUCAAUCAAUCAAUCAACAUCAAUCAAUCAUGUUUCCGUCUCGUCUCGUGUGUUUAAUAUAGGGUCCAAGAUCUUCUUUGUUUCUUUUUCGCUGUUUCAAUUGGCCCUAUCCAACGUGUUUAACACCAACCAACAACCACCAACCAACCAACCAACCACAACCAACCAACCAACCAACCAAUCAAUCAAUCAAUAAUCAAUCAAUAUCAAUCAUCAAUCAUGUUUCCGUCUCGUGUGUUUAAUAUAGGGUCCAAGAUCUUUUUUGUUUCUUUUUCGCUGUUUCAAUUGGCCCAUCCAACGUGUUUUAAACCAACCAACCAACCAACCAACCAACUAAUAAUCAAUCAAUCAAUCAAUCAAUCAAUCAAUCAUCAUUCAUGAUCAUGAUCAAUCAUGAUCAUGAUCAAUCAAUCAUGUUUCAUGAAAAAUUGAAAUUUAAUAUUGUUCUUGCGUCACUUCUGAAAAAAAAAUCCACAUGUACUCUGAAACUACAAAUACAAUCGACCUCAAAUUUGCAGUCAGCAGGGCAUACAUGUACUAAAGUUAUAAAAAAACUUGGUGCAGAUAUCUCUCAAAGCUUUUCCUAGAGAAAAAAAUUGCAAUGCGUAAAAAUUGCUUGCUAGGUCGUAAAUUUCAGUAAAAGCCUACAAUAAAAUGUCCGCUCCGAGAUUGAAAUACUAAUCUGUGUUAAACAACAGGUGCUGAAAAAUGUACAUUAUCAGAAAAAUAUCAAUAAAUGUGUUUUAAAGUUACACCGGAUCAAAUAAAUCCAAAUCAUGCACUGCUUGUGACUGUCAUCAAAAUGUCAAUUUCCUACAAUGACAAAGAAAUUACAUUGUGUGCAUUCCGUCUCUAUACAUGUUGCCUGUUCAAAGUCCCACUAAAAAGGAAUAAAAAGACUAUCUUUUCGUUAUUAUAAACCCGUGUCACGUGAUGUGGCGCGCGCGCGCUUACCUAAAAUAAAAGAAAAACUUUCCAAACUAAACAUGAAACUUCUCCGGUAACAUAAUAUAGACCCCAUACAGAAAAAAACAAACAAACAAACAAACAAACAAACAAACAACACCCCCCCCCCCAAUUCAAUUAAUUUUAAAGGGGAAAGACCCCCUACAAUUGCUUUUUAAAGCAAUUGAUUUAUAUUGUAAAAAACCUUUUUAACCAUUCUGUUCCGUUAAUAAAAAAAAAAAAAAAAAAUCUCCCCGAGACCCCCUUUUGCCCCCCCCCCUUUUUUUUUAACCCUCCACUUACAACUGAAUGUAGGUUGUGUACUAUCUAUCCUAUCAACGUAAAACGAACGACAACUCCAGUUUUUUCCAUAUUAUUAGGUCUUUCCACUUUUCUGUGGAAAGCCUAUUGUAUUUGUUCUGAUUAUUAGGUCUUUCCACUUUUCUGUGGAAAGCCUAUUGUAUUUGUUCUGAUUAUUAUUAUUAUUUUUUUUUUUUUUUCCGCCAAAUUUUGUUCUUGCGAUAAAUGUUUGUUUCGCAAUAUGUCGCUUAGAUUUUUUUCAUAUUGUAUCGUAUAGUUUAUGCGCUUUUAAAUUUCACCCUGCUAAGCCGAACCAUUUUCUUUGUAAGAGUUAUCUCCCUAUUCACUGUUUGUCAUGUGUGUGCAUCUCCUUCGUAACAAAAUAAGAAAGCGACAAAAUUCUUUUUACAAAUUGUUCGUUACAUCCUCAGGAAUUUUUGGCUAAUUUGGAUCGAAGCGAUUCGAUGAAAUUUUAUAGGAGUUAUGUACCUUUACGGAAUAAAUUUGUCGGUAUGUUUUUUUAACUCAUAAACCGUUAACCGUAUAACCCUGGAAUGUUUUUAUUUGAGUCCCCUGGGUCCUAACUUAGAAAAUUAGGUCAAGGUCAAAGGUCAAGGUCAUAUUUUAGAUUUUCAUAUGUCUUUGAUUUCCCUAUAAUUCUUGAAUGGUUAUAGAUACAGAAAAUUUAAGCAGUGAAAAAUGUUCAGUACUUCAAGGGGCAACUUUGUUACAUUAUGACUGUAUUGGUUUUACCAUUAUGUAAGGGACAUAACCCCCAUUGAUGGUUUAUAAAAAGCCAUUAUUAGGCAAAACUCUUAAACAAAAGGUCCUUGACCCAUAGGGUCUUUUGCAAUGACAUUGUGAAGCAAUGACCUUGACAAAGGUCACAAGGUCAAAGGUCAAGGUCAUGUACAUAUGUGAUUUGGGGCACGACUUGAAGAAUUUUAUGUGUGUUUGCCAACCAACCAACCAACCAACCAAUCAUGAUCAAUCAAUAAUGAUCAAUCAACAAAUCAUGAUCAUGAUCAAUCAACCAAUCAUGAUCAUGAUUAAUCAAUCAAUCAAUCAUGUUUCCGUCUCAUGUGUUUAAUAUAGGGUUCAAGAUCUCCUUUGUUUCUUUUUCGCUGUUUCAAUUGACCCUUUCCAACGUGUUUAACCAACCAACCAACCAACCAACCAACCAACCAAUCAAUCAAUCAAUCAAUCAAUCAAUCAAUCAAUCAAUCAAUCAUCAAUCAAUCAAUCAAUCAUGUUUCCGUCUCGUGUGUUUAAUAUAGGGUCCAAGAUCUUCUUUGUUUCUUUUUCGCUGUUUCAAUUGACCCUAUCCAACGUGUUUAACCAACCAACCAACCAACCAACCAACCAACCAACCAAUCAAUCAAUCAAUCAAUCAUGAUCAUGAUCAAUCAAUCAUGUUUCCGUCUCGUGUGUUUAAUAUAGGGUCCAAGAUCUUCUUUGUUUCUUUUUCGCUGUUUCAAUUGGCCCUAUCCAACGUGUUUUAACCAACCAACCAACCAACCAACCAACCAACCAAUCAAUCAAUCAAUCAAUCAAUCAAUCAAUCAUGAUCAUGAUCAAUCAAUCAUCAAGAAUCAAUCAAUCAUGAUCAUGAUCAAUCAAUCAUGUUUCAUGAAAAAUUGAAAUUUAAUAUUGUUCUUGCGUCACUUCUGAAAAAAAAAAUCCACAUGUACUCUGAAACUACAAGUACAAUCGACCUCAAAAUUUGCAGUCAGCAGGGC
rnacentral:lncRNA from 1 species